CUGCUGACGCUCGGACGCAGCCGAGAGCGCCAGGAGGCAGGGGGAGGGGAGCGAAGCAGGUGGCAAAGCGGCAGGGGGAACGGGGCGGACGGCCCGGGACCUCGAGAGCGAGGGGUCGGGUGCAGAAAAUGCGCACAGGCCCGAGCGGGACUGUGACCGAGGAAAAUCCCUCUGGUGGAUGAGCUACCAAGUCGACCUCUGGCCCACGCCGAGGGAGUCUAGACUGGGACUGGGGCUCGUGCGCUCGGUUAAUUGAAUAUUAAUCACCUCAGGGCCUAGGCCAACUGCCACCGGCAGAGUGGCAACUGCAGAACCCAAAGCCGCCGGGCUGGGGGUGGGGACGGGAGGCCAGCUCGCCGCACCUUCCGCCCAGGUGACAGUUUAACCGCCUCCGCCGUCCCGCGUCAGGCCUCCCCGGGCGACCCGCAGCGGCUCGGAGCUGGGGGUGGCCCGAGGCCGUAAGAAGGAGCACAUGUCACUCCCAGGGCCCCUCGGUGGCUGGGGGGUGGCGCCGCCGUGCCAAGCUGCGUAGCAACGACGCCUGAUUGGCCACGCGCGGCCCCUGAGGAGCAGGCGAUUGGCCGCCUGGUAUCCAGGAGACGGACGUCAGAGUCGGACCCGCUGGAGCGGAGAGAAGGUCCAGGGGGAGUGAGGGCGGGAGCGGGCCUCGGGGCCGUGAAUGGAGCGCCCUGCGCCCUGCGCCCUGCGCCCGGGCGCGCUUCCCGGAACACCGCCGCUGCCGCCGGCCUUCGCCCGCGGAAGAGCGGGGCUCGCGGAAGGCGGUGCGCGGCGUAGACCCGCUGCGCUGCGCGGGCACGAACCCGCUUUCUGUGUCCGGGCCAGAGGCUGGUCGCUGUGCGGGCGCGAAAUCUGGGUGCAGCCGCCUUCUGCACACCCCCCACCCCACCCCGGAGAAGGAGCCGCAGGGAGAGACGAUGUUUCAGAAGUCUCCGUGCGUGCGGGAAGGGGAAGGAGCCGGGGGCCAGCUGGGGUCUGGGGAUGGGGCGUGGCCGGGGCCUCCUUUUGUCGCUCGGAUCCCUAAAGUUGUACCCGGGGACUCCACAUUUAGGCUUGUUUUAUUAGGGUUGGGAUGGUUUGGUGGCGAACAGAGGAGAGUAGAACUGAAUUGUGAAACUAUGGCAAGCAUUUUGAGUUUAUAUUAAAAAAAAAAAAACCUUCCUCUUCAUGGAAAUGUAAUAUAAACGAUUCGUUCGGCG